UAAUAGUAGAUGUUGCAUGACAUUUACUUAAAAGGUGCAAUUGCAUCACUACCAGAUGGACCUGCGUUGUAUUAGCUAGUUGGUGGGGUAACGGCUCACCAAGGCGACGAUACAUAGCCGACCUGAGAGGGUGAUCGGCCACACUGGGACUGAGACACGGCCCAGACUCCUACGGGAGGCAGCAGUAGGGAAUCUUCGGCAAUGGACGGAAGUCUGACCGAGCAACGCCGCGUGAGUGAAGAGGGUUUUCGGAUCGUAAAGCUCUGUUGUAAGAGAAGAACGAGUGUGAGAGUGGAAAGUUCACACUGUGACGGUAUCUUACCAGAAAGGGACGGCUAACUACGUGCCAGCAGCCGCGGUAAUACGUAGGUCCCGAGCGUUGUCCGGAUUUAUUGGGCGUAAAGCGAGCGCAGGCGGUUAGAUAAGUCUGAAGUUAAAGGCUGUGGCUUAACCAUAGUACGCUUUGGAAACUGUUUAACUUGAGUGCAAGAGGGGAGAGUGGAAUUCCAUGUGUAGCGGUGAAAUGCGUAGAUAUAUGGAGGAACACCGGUGGCGAAAGCGGCUCUCUGGCUUGUAAC
rnacentral:rRNA from 1 species